CUACGGGCGGCAGCAGUGGGGAAUAUUGCACAAUGGAGGAAACUCUGAUGCAGCAACGCCGCGUGGAGGAUGACACUUUUCGGAGCGUAAACUCCUUUUAUAUGUGAAGAAGAUGACGGUACUAUAUGAAUAAGCGCCGGCUAACUCCGUGCCAGCAGCCGCGGUAAUACGGAGGGCGCAAGCGUUACUCGGAAUCACUGGGCGUAAAGAGCGUGUAGGCGGAUUAAAAAGUCAGAAGUGAAAUCCUAUAGCUUAACUAUAGAACUGCUUCUGAAACUCUUAAGCUAGAAUAUGGGAGAGGUAGAUGGAAUUUCUGGUGUAGGGGUAAAAUCCGUAGAGAUCAGAAGGAAUACCGAUUGCGAAGGCGAUCUACUAGAACAUUAUUGACGCUGAGACGCGAAAGCGUGGGGAGCAAACAGGAUUAGAUACCCCCGUAGUC
rnacentral:rRNA from 1 species